GGAUGUGAGGGUGAUCUGGCUUCGACAUCUGUCACCCCAUUGAUCGCCAGGGUUGAUUUGGCUGAUCUGGUUGGCUAGGCUAGUGUCAGCCUUUAUCCCUCACUAUUCCAUGUGUGUCCCUCCCGAAGCUGCACGCUUGGAGAAGACGGCCUUCCCCGAAUAGAGAUGGACCAGUCUUCGGUCAAGGGUAUAUGAGUAGCUGUGCUCCCCUGCUAGAACAUCCAAACAAGCGCUCAAAAAUGGGAAAAAUGGCCUCCAGAAGCAGUGGAUUUGUAGUGCAGGAACCAAGGCCCAGCGAUAACCCU
rfam:Erinaceus europaeus unplaced genomic scaffold scaffold00767, whole genome shotgun sequence